rnacentral:rRNA from 1 species
CACCUGACUCCAUCCCGAACUCAGAAGUGAAACGAAACAGCGUCGAUGGUAGUGUGGGGUCUCCCCAUGUGAGAGUAGAACAUCGCCAAGC